rnacentral:rRNA from 1 species
ACGAUGAAGCCCUUCGGGGUGGAUUAGUGGCGAACGGGUGAGUAACACGUGGGCAAUCUGCCCUUCACUCUGGGACAAGCCCUGGAAACGGGGUCUAAUACCGGAUACGACUGCGGGAGGCAUCUCCUGUGGUGGAAAGCUCCGGCGGUGAAGGAUGAGCCCGCGGCCUAUCAGCUUGUUGGUGGGGUAAUGGCCCACCAAGGCGACGACGGGUAGCCGGCCUGAGAGGGCGACCGGCCACACUGGGACUGAGACACGGCCCAGACUCCUACGGGAGGCAGCAGUGGGGAAUAUUGCACAAUGGGCGAAAGCCUGAUGCAGCGACGCCGCGUGAGGGAUGACGGCCUUCGGGUUGUAAACCUCUUUCAGCAGGGAAGAAGCGAAAGUGACGGUACCUGCAGAAGAAGCGCCGGCUAACUACGUGCCAGCAGCCGCGGUAAUACGUAGGGCGCAAGCGUUGUCCGGAAUUAUUGGGCGUAAAGAGCUCGUAGGCGGCUUGUCACGUCGGAUGUGAAAGCCCGAGGCUUAACCUCGGGUCUGCAUUCGAUACGGGCUAGCUAGAGUGUGGUAGGGGAGAUCGGAAUUCCUGGUGUAGCGGUGAAAUGCGCAGAUAUCAGG